UUGGAUUUUGUUGGAUAAUUAUGAGAAAAUGUUUAGAUAAACAGAAAGAAUUAUCCUGACUGUCGUGUCACUUUUGUGUAGCAUACGUGGAAGUAAAAGUUAGUUGAAAGCUAUCAAGUUUUAACUUCUAACUUUCGGUGUUUCUGCGGAGGACUUGGUGAUUGUAUGUUUAGUUUCCUUCUUGCCGUUGCAUUUUUUGUUGAUGGACUGCUAUAUGGUUCUAGGUGAUUGUAUGUUUAGUUUCCUUCUUGCCGUUGCAUUUUUGUUGAUGGACUGCGAUAUGGUUCUACAGAUAUGAUGAAUUCUAUCUUUCUUUUAGUUCCCUCGCUAAUGAUCAUUGAUGUUGAAGAUUGUGGCAAGUCGAAAACGGUCUCUUUUUGGGCGUAAGAUAAGUUGACAAAUGUACCAGGUGCUCUAUCUGGUAUCCUGAGUAGUGACUUCCGCAAAUAAAUUUUGAACUGCUUGUGCAACAGAAGCAAUUGUUACUUGCUGAGCACAGAGAGCACCUGCUGCACAGGCAAUUCAAAAUUCAUUUGCAGAAGUCACUACUCAGAACACCCGAUGGAGCACCUGGUACAUUUGUCAGCUAAUCUUAAACCCGAAAACAACUGUCUUGGACUUGCCACAAUCUUCAACAUCAACGACCAUUGGCGAGGGAAGUAAGGGAAAGAUAGAAUCCAUCACAUUUGUAGAAGCAGAUCGCAGUCCAUCAACAAAAGAUGCAACGCCAGGCAAGAAACCAAGCAUACAAUCAGCAAGUCCUCCGCAGAAACGCUGAAGAUACUUCAUCAGAUUUUGACUGCAACGAAGGUCGCGUGAAUGCUUUUUGAUGGCCUACAGCAGUUGUGAUGCAGAUUUUGAUGCUGUUGUUCAUUUCAGUACAGUCUUCUCGCAUUUUUGUGUAAAUAUCUAUGCAAAUUUUGAUGCGGUUGUUCACUGCAUUCACAUUUUGUGUAAAUAAGUAUGCAAACUGUGUCUUUGUAUAUUCUUGUAAAUGCAGGUAGCUCCUUUUAUGCAUGCA